AUGCCUAUUGCUUGUUGUGAUGAUUAUGAUUGGGAAGAUAAUGAUACUUCUUAUGAUCUUGAAAAUCUUUUUGGCACUUGCUUGGAAGAAUAUGAUAAUUGCUAUACUAUUGGUGCUAUCCAUACUAUUAAUGAUGAGAGUGAUUACGCUUACGAUAUUAAAAGGCCCAAGCUUGGGGAUGCUAUGUUUGAAGAAUAUGAUGUUUUUGAGAAUAUAUUUGCUGCAAUUAAUGUUUGUCCCAAGCUUGGGGAUGCUACGUUUAAUGAAGAAGAUAUUUUUAGCCUCCCAAGUUUUGAUAUGCAAAUUUGUUAUGAUGAUAGCAUGCCUCCUACUUAUGAUGAUUAUAUUGAUGAAAGUGGGUUUGGAAGAGUGUCAACUUUAGGAAGUAAUGAUCCCACUAUUUUGGAGGAUGUUGAAUCAUAUUGUGAUAAGUAUGAAAGUGGAUUUGGAGAGGUCAUGACUUUAUUUAGUGAUGAUUCCACUAUCUUGGAAGAGGUUUCAAUUGAUUAUGAUGAGAACAAAGUUGCUACUUAUGAUGAUUAUUGUGAUGAAACUUAUGCUAUAAAAGUAGUGAUGAUUAUAUUUAUAAAACUUGUCAUGCUUAUGAUUACCCUUUUUCUGAACAUUACUCUUUUAAUAUGGAAACAAUUUAUAGUAUUCGAGUCUCUUAUGAUACUCCCACUAUUCCAAAAGAGAAGAAUUUUGCUUAUGUGGAGAGUAGUAAAAUUUCUAUGCAAGUAG
rnacentral:rRNA from 1 species